rnacentral:rRNA from 1 species
AUUAAACGCUGGCGGCAGGCCUAACACAUGCAAGUCGAGCGGAUGAGAGGAGCUUGCUUCUUGAUUCAGCGGCGGACGGGUGAGUAAUGCCUAGGAAUCUGCCUGGUAGUGGGGGACAACGUUUCGAAAGGAACGCUAAUACCGCAUACGUCCUACGGGAGAAAGCAGGGGACCUUCGGGCCUUGCGCUAUCAGAUGAGCCUAGGUCGGAUUAGCUAGUUGGUGAGGUAAUGGCGCACCAAGGCGACGAUCCGUAACUGGUCUGAGAGGAUGAUCAGUCACACUGGAACUGAGACACGGUCCAGACUCCUACGGGAGGCAGCAGUGGGGAAUAUUGGACAAUGGGCGAAAGCCUGAUCCAGCCAUGCCGCGUGUGUGAAGAAGGUCUUCGGAUUGUAAAGCACUUUAAGUUGGGAGGAAGGGUUGUACGUUAAUACCGUGCAAUUUUGACGUUACCGACAGAAUAAGCACCGGCUAACUACGUGCCAGCAGCCGCAGUAA